rnacentral:rRNA from 1 species
UACGUAGGGGGCAAGCGUUGUCCGGAAUUAUUGGGCGUAAAGAGCGUGUAGGCGGUCCGGUAAGUCGGCUGUGAAAAGUCCAGGGCUCAACCCUGGGAUGCCGGUCGAUACUGCCGGACUAGAGUUCGGAAGAGGCGAGUGGAAUUCCCGGUGUAGCGGUGAAAUGCGCAGAUAUCGGGAGGAACACCUAUGGCGAAGGC